CACACGUGUCCCUGAGCCGGGAGCUCAGUGACCUGCGGGACAACCAGGAGCUGCUGGAGAGGAACGGGUUGGUGCUGGCUCUGGCACUGUCAGAGCUGGAGGGGAACCAAACGUGGCUGCAGCAGCACGGUGCGGUGACAGCGGCGCUCCUGGAGGUGCUGUCAGCCAAUCAGAGCGCGGCACAGAGGAAAGGUGGGGACAC